UACAGAGGGUGCAAGCGUUAAUCGGAAUUACUGGGCGUAAAGCGCGCGUAGGUGGUUCGUUAAGUUGGAUGUGAAAGCCCCGGGCUCAACCUGGGAACUGCAUUCAAAACUGACGAGCUAGAGUAUGGUAGAGGGUGGUGGAAUUUCCUGCGUAGCGGUGAAAUGCGUAGAUAUAGGAAGGAACACCGGUGGCGAAGGCGACUUCCUGGCCUGUUCUUGACGCUGAGGCGCGAAAGCUAGGGGAGCAAACGGG
rnacentral:rRNA from 1 species